GUGUGCGGCAGCUCCGGGUAAUGGCCGGCGGCGUUCCCCUUCGUCGCCACGCGAGGAGAGGAGGAGCUCAUGCAUUGCAUCUGCGGCGCCGGCGGCGAUCCCCAUCGUCGCCGUUUCGACAGGAGCCCCCUUCGGCUCCGGCGGCGAUCCCCUUGGUCGCCGUGCGAAAGGAGUCUCCUUCGGCUCCGGCGGCGAUCCCCUUGGUCGCCGUGCGAAAGGAGUCUCCUUCGGCUCCGGCGGCGAUCCAACAAGCGACAUCCAUGGCGGGGUUGCAGCCUCGCGCUGCUCGCGGCGGCCGGCGACAUCGCGAAUUCCGCCCUGAAGCUCCAUCUCCGCCGUUUUUGCCUCGCACAACCAUGAAGCGCCGGGUCUGGCGUGGCUUCCUGCAUCGACAGCUGACGGCCAUUAAUGGUCCAGUGCCCUCCACCGGAUGAGGUGUUAGUGCUCGCGUAGGGGCGUGCUAGAGAGGAUCUGCUGCUCGGCCAGGAUCUAGAGAGGUUGGCGGCUUUGUCUUCCAAUUCCCACAUUGACGAGCGAACAGGAGCUGCGGCUGCUCCUGUGGUAUGCAUGCUAUCGCCGCCUUUUGUGAUUGCUUCUGUUUUUCCCUCUAGAUCAUAUGCAGUGUUUUGCUUUUGGUGAUUGGACUAAGUUGCUAUGAGUACUAAGUUCACACAUCAUCACUGCAAUUUUUUAGAAAUCUUUGUAAUAGUGGCACACCAUCACGGCAAUUUUAUCUAUAUCCGUGUUCAUAAACGAUGGCAUCUGUAUUGCCAUGGUAACUUUUGUGUAAACGUGAAUCUGGCACCAUGGUUUAAAAGUAUGUUUGAUUUUUGUAUUUUUGAUUGACUAGUUUGGUUGCUGCUGCAUUUUGUACUUGUGUAGCAACAUAGCAAAUUUGUCAUCAACAAUUUUUAGCUACCAUCUUUUGUUUUAGUAAAUAGUUGCCAUGGCAAAUUUGCCUCGUUUUUUGCUAUGAAAUUUUUUCAGGCCAUGGGAAAUUGAUAUUCACUUUACUAUGAAUUUUCCCAGAUUACGGUUUUCACUAUGAAUUGCUCGAAAGUAGGUAUACAUCAUAGGGGGCGGCAGGCGCGGUGCUCGAAUGGGUCCAAUCGAUGGUACGCAACGAGCUCGGAGGGUUGCGUGCGGAAGGCUGCACGAGGCUCGGGUGCGAGCUCGAGGGAGACGAGCUGCACGAAGCUCGGGUGUGUGAGGUGCUGCUCCUUUGGAUCAGGACCGCGCAGCGUCACGAAAUAGGUUUUGAAGGGACGAAAUGAAGAUCUCCCGGAUGGCCUAACCACACAUGGCGGCCAACCGCAAGGGAGAGAGAAUGUUUCGCUAGAUUGUGAGCUUCAUAGUUUGAGCUCCUAAAUUCAUGACCUAUAUAUAUAUAUUGCAAGAUAAAAAGCUAGAAGAGUGUUCUGAUAUCUCCCGAAGUACAGCUCCAUAAGUAGCUAGCUUGCCAUGAUUCAACUCAUCGACAACC
rnacentral:rRNA from 1 species